ensembl:lncRNA
AGCUGCAGGCUGACGCUGAUACCAAAUGACGCGCUUUGGCAGCGUUGGUUUUAUUGUAUGCUACAGUUAAGUUUCGAUUUCCCGUCAGUAGGCGGUAAUCUCCCAGGAGCUGUGCGUACAGCUUGUUGAUAAAGAUUGUCAGUCAUCCAGGAAAACUCUUCAGGUUGAGGCGCGUUGAUCUCUGCGUACAGAGAACAUCAGAACAUCUGUUCAGCUUCAGGUGGCCUGUGGUAAAGGGGACGAUGAGGGACAGUGACUCCAUGCCAGUUUGUCGCUGUUUUUUAUAUUCCCUGUGUUAUCAGCUACCUAGUAAUCUUCAUAAGUGAAAGUGUAUACAGCACAGAGUUGUCAUUCCUCAGAAUUACAUGUAAAAACAAACAUCCACAAUCCCUUAAAAACAUGUAUUCAUUAAAUCUAAACAUGUAUUCAUCUGAUCUAAACAUGUAUUCAUCUAAUCUAAACAUGUAUUCAUCUAAUCUAAACAUCUAAUCUAAACAUGUAUUCAUCUGAUCUAAACAUGUAUUCAUCUAAUCUAA